rnacentral:rRNA from 1 species
GUGGGGAAUCUUAGACAAUGGGCGCAAGCCUGAUCUAGCCAUGCCGCGUGAGCGAUGAAGGCCUUAGGGUUGUAAAGCUCUUUCGUGGGGGAAGAUAAUGACUGUACCCCAAGAAGAAGCCCCGGCUAACUCCGUGCCAGCAGCCGCGGUAAUACGGAGGGGGCUAGCGUGGUUCGGAAUUACUGGGCGUAAAGCGCACGUAGGCGGACUGGAAAGUCAGGGGUGAAAUCCCGGGGCUCCACCCCGGAACUGCCUUUGAAACUCCCAGUCUUGAGUUCGAGAGAGGUGAGUGGAAUUCCGAGUGUAGAGGUGAAAUUCGUAGAUAUUCGGAGGAACACCAGUGGCGAAGGCGGCUCACUGGCUCGAUACUGACGCUGAGGUGCGAAAGCGUGGGGAGCAAACAGGAUUAGAAACCCCUGUAGUCC